AAGGCAGGUGGGGGGAAAAGACUUUCGCCCCCCCGCCAACCUUCAGAAGAGGUCCAGGACCUCUUCUGAAGGCUGGCGGGGGGCACAAGUCUUUGUCCCCCCUGCCUGCCUU